rnacentral:sRNA from 1 species
UGAUAUCAUGAAGAAUUUAGAGGAUAAGUCCCAAAAAAAUAUGCGAGGGAAUACAGAGGAAGAUAAACCUGAAUGCAGGGAGAAGGAGAAGACUGAGAUGCCAGAGUCGCGGAAAAGAAAAAGAGAAGAUUAUGCUUCUUUAUCUUCUGGAAUCUCAUCCUCGAGUAUGAAGAAUGGUUUGUCUGACCGUCCCAAUCGUAAAGAUUGUGUAUCAACUGUGAAUUUAGGAACCUCUGAUGGUACAUGGGAACUUUAUGGGUC